AUCACUUCUCAGCCUUUUGGCUACAAUCAAGUGUAGUAUCUGUUCUUAUCAAUUUAAUAUCUGACACAUUCUCUGAGGACAUUAUAUUAAAUGUAUUUUUGGAAUAGGGAGAUGGAAUAGGAGCUUGCUCCAUCCACUCCACGCAUUGACCUGGCAUUGCAGUACCCCUAGGAAAGGUGCACACACA